rnacentral:rRNA from 1 species
GGUAUUUUGACUAUACGAAGGUAUUGAAAUAAGGCUUUAAAUGGGUGCUAAGAGAAUGGUUUAACAAUUAUGGACUUUCUUUAAUUAAAAAAUUGAAUUUAAUUUUUUUUGUGAAGAAGCAAAGAUAAAAAUUAGGGACAAGAAGACCCUAUGAAUUUUAACUUAAAUUACCCUUCACUAGAGUAGUUUAAGUUUGGUUGGGGCGAUGGGAAAAGAAUAAGUAUCUUUAUUAAUUUUAACAAAUUUGUUCCGUUUUUAACGAUUAAUUAAACAAAAUACUCUAGGGAUAACAGCGUAAUAAUUUUGGAUAGUUCAUAUAGAUAAAAUAGUUUGCGACCUCGAUGUUGGAUUAGGAUUCUUUUUCGGCGAAGAAGUUGAAUUAAAGAAGUUUGUUCAACUUUUAAACUCCU